rnacentral:lncRNA from 1 species
AUUAGCACUGAAAUGGAAACAACUAUUUUUCAAUUAGUAAUAAUUUUUUGUAAGUUAUAUAAGUUAUGUGGUAUCACAGUAUAGAGAGAGCAUUGUGCUUGGAAUACAUCCUAGCUUUGGCAUUGACUGUAUGGUCUUGGAUUUACUUUACACUCUGUAUUAAAUCACUUUAGAUUCUGGCUCAUGCCUAUCAGUGAAGGCUCUGCUGUCACCCCAUUUGUUCAUGGCUGGUCUUUGUCCACCCCUGGAACUGGAGGUGAACAGCAAAGUGAUUCCUGUGUAUCUGAAUCUGUUCUCUUGACUCCCAGCCAAGUGAUCUUUCCAAAUGGCCAUCUUUCCCAGAGGUUGUUCCUAAAGACUGCUAAGAGUUAAGGAGAAAAGUCAUGAACCCUUCCCAUGAAAAAGAUGCAGACAUCAGCAUUAAUUCUCCAAGCGUGAGUAAAUUUUGCAAGAAAAAAAAUUUCAACCAUUUCCUUCUUGUAUAUAUAUAUAUAUAUUUCCUUCAUACACACACACAUAAGAACAUAUGUAUUUGGUUUCGGAGUAUUUCCCAUUAUAGUUUAUUAUAAGCUAUUGAGUAUAUUUCCCUGUGCUAUGUAGUUAAGUCCUUGUCAUUUUAUAUAUAGCAGUGUAUCUGUUAAUCCCAAACUCCCAAUUUAUCACCCUCUACCCCAGUUAGCACUUUUGAUUUGCUAGAACAAUUUGAUACCAUUUCAUUACGUUCAGCCCUUAUUUGAGGAAACUAGAACCUUAAAAUCUAUGGUUACCAAAAUGUAUAAUUUUUUCAUACAAUGAUUUUUAUUUUUUCCAUUAUAACUGGUUUACAGUGUACUGUCAAUUUUCUACUAUAUAGCAAGGUGACCCUGUUACCCAUACAUGUAUACAUAUGUUUUUUUCUCAUAUUAUGCUCCAUCAUAAGUGACUAGAAAUAGUUCUCAGUGCUACACAGCAAGAUCUCACUGCUUCUCCAUUCCAAAGGCAAUAGUUUGCAUCUAUUAACCCCAAAUUCCCAGUCCAUUCCACUCCUUCCCCGUCCCCCUUGGCAACCACAAGUCUGUUCUCCAUGUGCAUGAUUUGCUUUUCUGUGGAAAGGUUCAUUUGGGCUGUAUAUUAGAUUUCAGAUAUAAGUAAUAUCGUAUGGUAUUUGCCUUUCUCUUUCUGACUUAGUGUGAGAGUGUCUAGUUCCAUCCAUGUUGCUGCAAAUGGCAUUAUUUGUUCUUUUUUGUGGCUGAGUAGUAUUCCACUGUGUAUAUAUACCACAUCUUCUUAAUCCAUUCAUCUGUCAAGAUGGACAUUUAGGUUGUUUCCAUGUCUUGGCUAUUGUGAAUAGUGCUGCAGUGAACAUGCCGGUGCAUGUGUCUUUUUCAAAGAA